GCGUAGAAGCUUCUGAUGGUGGGUCUGUUCGCCCUUUAAAAUCUAACAUGAGCUGAGUUCAGAACGGCGUGAGCUAGUUCAGUUUCUAUCCUCUUUUUGAAAUGAGCUAAUUUUGUACGAAAGGACUUUUUCGCUAAAGCAAUGCUUUGUCACAAAUCUGUGGUUGCAUAAAUAAUAGGGUAUAAUAGGUUGAUUAGCCUGUAGGAAGGGUUA
rnacentral:rRNA from 1 species